AGAUAUUAGUCAUUGCUCGAAAGAGUGACUAGGUAACUGAAUCAAUCUAGCCUCACUUAAGGUUAAUAUUUUAUUAACUGUGAUGUUAGAGUGAUAACGUAAGGGAAAAUAUAUGAUAUUACCUUACUAUUAGUGUUGUCCAAAACUGGUGCCAGAAGACUCGGUAAGGCCAGAAACGCAAACGUUAAUCUUAAUGACCAGGCGUAAAGGGUUCGUAGGCAGCUUUAUAAUAAAAAAUUUAAUUAGCUAAAUAAAUAUAAUAUUUAUUUUAAAUUUUUAUAUUAAAAGAUAUAAUCAAAUAUAGGUUUAGCCGAUAAAUGCUUAGAGUAAGGGUCAUAUCUAUAGAUACUAAGUAGAGUUCUAAUGGCGAAAGCUAUUUUUCCAUUAAUGAUUGAAGCUGAGGAACGAAGGUUUGAACAGAAAAUAGGAUUUGGUACCCACUUAUCUCUUACUGUCAACUAUGAAUGGUAGAAAUUAGUUGUGAUAACUAGUUUCAAUACUAACGUGUAACCAUUCCGCCUUGAGAGUACGGUCGCAAGGCUGAAACCAAAAAAAUUAGUCGGUCAAGAAC
rnacentral:rRNA from 1 species